AGCAACUCACUGCUCCGGCGACUCCCGUUGCACGCUUCCGUGCAAAUUCCCCAAUCGGCCCCGUCCCAAGUUCAACACUAGUCCACACUCCACAAGUGCUCCUCUGCUUCACUCACCGCUGCUCCUUUUACUCUCUGGUUUUGUCCUUCUGAGAGUAGAUCUGAUGGCGUUCGGCGUUGCUGCGAUUCUUCAAUCUGUUUAGGGAAACUAGGGAUCUGGGGUCUGAAAGGUAGCAGCAAAGCCAAGCAAUUGAUUCACGAAGGUAGGCUGCUCUGCUGCUCUCUGCCAUUGAUGCGUUCGGCGUUGCUCUGCUUCUCACCUAUAUAUGCUGGAAUCCGAGGUCCAGGAUGAACGGAAGUGUUCUUACUUGGAUUGGGUUGAUCAAGAGUGGCCAUAGUCUUUGAAGA